UCAGGACGAACGCUGGCGGUGUGCCUCAUACAUGCAAGUCGAACGAGAAACUGACUUCGGUCAGUGGAAAGUGGCGGACGGGUGAGUAAUAUGUAGGAAAUCUGCCCUAGAGAGGGGGACAACAGAGGGAAACUUCUGCUAAUACCCCAUAUGAGCUUGGUUGAAAUACCAAUCUUGAAAACUCCGGUGCUCUAGGAUGAGCCUGCAUCUGAUUAGCUAGUUGGUGGUGUAAUGGACCACAAAGGCGACGAUCAGUAGCUGGUUUGAGAGGAUGAUCAGCCACAAUGGGACUGAGACACGGCCCAUACUCCUACGGGAGGCAGCAGUAGGGAAUUUUGCGCAAUGGGGGAAACCCUGAACCGCAGCAACACCGCGUGAAUGUUAAGCCCUUCGGGGUAUAAAGUUCUGUCAAUGGGGAAGAAUAAAUGACUGUACCCAUAAAGGAAGCACCGGCUAACUCCGUGCCAGCCGCUGC
rnacentral:rRNA from 1 species